AUUGCCUAAUUGUACUCUCUUCUCGAAUUCUCUACCAAAACAAAACAAAUCCCAGUUCUUGAUUUAUUGUACUAGUUAUAAUCUACCUUUCUUGCUCCUCCUUCUUCUUCAAUGUCUUCCUAUACCAGAUCACACUCAUCUCAGCAGUCCUAUGCCCCCUCUGCUCCAUCCCUGACCGAGUCUUAUAACCAGCAGGACCACGCUUACAAUAGUUUCCCUCCUCCUCCAAGUGACGACAGGCGGCGGCAGCAGCAUCAGCCGCCGCCUUCUUAUGCGGCAGGAUAUGGCCAGGGUGAGUACUCAUAUGGGUACUCUGGUUUUCCACCGGGAACACAUCCAGACGUGAUUAGGAGCUUUCAGAUGGUGGAUAG
rnacentral:misc_RNA from 1 species